rnacentral:rRNA from 1 species
UACGUAGGUGACAAGCGUUGUCCGGAUUUACUGGGUGUAAAGGGCGCGCAGGCGGGACAGCAAGUCAGAAGUGAAAUACCGAGGCUCAACCUCGGGGCUGCUUUUGAAACUGUUGUUCUUGAGUAUCGGAGAGGAAAGCGGAAUUCCCAGUGUAGCGGUGAAAUGCGUAGAUAUUGGGAGGAACACCAGUGGCGAAGGCGGCUUUCUGGACGACAACUGACGCUGAGGCGCGAAAGUGUGGGGAGCAAACAGG